rnacentral:rRNA from 1 species
ACAGCAGCAGCCGCGGUAAUACAGAGGGUGCGAGCGUUAAUCGGAUUUACUGGGCGUAAAGCGUGCGUAGGCGGCUUCUUAAGUCGGAUGUGAAAUCCCUGAGCUUAACUUAGGAAUUCCAUUCGAUACUGGGAAGCUAGAGUAUGGGAGAGGAUGGUAGAAUUCCAGGUGUAGCGGUGAAAUGCGUAGAGAUCUGGAGGAAUACCGAUGGCGAAGGCAGCCAUCUGGCCUAAUACUGACGCUGAGGUACGAAAGCAUGGGGAGCAAACAGGAUUAGAUACCCGGGUAGUCCCUGUCUCUUAUAC